GAUGAACGCUGGCGGCGUGCCUAACACAUUCAAGUCGAACGAGGUAGCAAUACCUAGUGGCGGACGGGUGAGUAACGCGUGAGCAACCGGCCCUUGCGUGGGGGAUACGGUUUGGGAACGAACGUUAAUACCGCAUAAUGUAAUGAAAUCGCAUGGUUUUGUUAUCACAGACGUAUUGAGCAAGGAUGGGCUCGCGUAUGAUUAGAUAGUUGGUGGGGUACUGGCUCACCAAGUCUACGUUCGGUAGUCAGACUGAGAGGUUGAACGGCCACAUUGGAACUGAGAGACGGUACAGACGCCUACGGGAGGCAGCAGUGGGGAAUAUUGGGCAAUGGGCGAAAGCCUGACCCAGCGACGACGCGUGAAGGAAGAAGGUCUUCGGAUUGUAAACUUCUUUUAUUAGGGACGAACAGAUGACGGUACCUAAUGAAUAAGCCACGGCUAACUACGUGCCAGCCGCCGCAGUAA
rnacentral:rRNA from 1 species